GGCUCAUUACAACAGCUAUAAUUUACUUGAUCUUGACAAACUUACAUGGAUAACUGAGGUAAUUCUUGAGCUAAUACAUGCACCAAAGCUUUGACCGUAAGGGAAGAGCGCAUUUAUUAGAACAAAACCAAACGGCUUCGGCUGUUCCCAGUUGAAUCAGAAUAACUCAGCUGAUCGUACGGUCUUGCACCGACGACGUGUCUUUCAAGUAUCUGCUUUAUCAACUUUCGAUGGUAGGGUAUCUGCCUACCAUGGUGGUGACGGAUAACGGAGGAUCAGGGUUCGACUCCGGAGAAGGGGCCUGAGAAAUGGCCACUACGUCUAAGGAUGGCAGCAGGCGCGCAAAUUACCCACUCUCAGAAUUUGGAGGAGGUAGUGACGAGAAAUAACGAGGUUGAUCUCUUCUGAGGCCAACCAUCGGAAUGGGUACAAUUUAAACCCUUUAACGAGUAUCUAUGAGAGGGCAAGUCUGGUGCCAGCAGCCGCGGUAAUUCCAGCU
rnacentral:rRNA from 1 species